rnacentral:rRNA from 1 species
CAGGGUGUGAUCGACAAAGCAAAGUUUGAUUCUUUCUAUGUGCCGUUGUAUGGACCUUCCAUCGAAGAGCUGAGGGAGAUCAUCAAGGCAGAGGGCUCUUUUUCGAUCAGGGAGAUAUGAGUAUUGGGAAGUGCUAGCUUGGAAGAAGGUGGGAUGGUGAUUCGAAUGUUGAUAUUAUUCAACAUGUUUUGA